rfam:Gossypium raimondii chromosome 1, whole genome shotgun sequence.
AUCCCAUGAUGAGGACACUUAUGAAGUAACUCCUUGAAUCGCUCCCAAGCCUCAUACAAAGACUUGUCAUCCAAUUGCUGGAAAGUUGUCAUCUCGUUCCUUAACAU